ensembl:lncRNA
GCUUGGGGCCGUGUCCUGCUAGGUAUCGUGUCCUGCUUGGUGCCGUGUCCUGCUAGGUGUCGUGUCCUGCUAGGUGUCGUGUCCUGCUUGGUGUCGUGUCCUGCUAGGUGUCGUGUCCUGCUAGGUGUCGUGUCCUGCUUGGUGUCGUAUCCUGCUAGGUGUCGUGUCCUGCUAGGUGUUGUGUCCUGCUAGGUGUCGUGUCCUGCUAGGUGUCGUGUCCUGCUUGUGUCCUGCUAGGUGUCGUGUCCUGCUAGGUGUCGUGUCCUGCUAGGUGUCGUGUCCUGCUAGGUGUCGUGUCCUGCUAGGUGUCGUGUCCUGCUAGGUGUCGUGUCCUGCUAGGUGUCGUGUCCUGCUAGGUGUCGUGUCCUGCUAGGUGUCGUGUCCUGCUAGGUGUCGUGUCCUGCUUGUGUCCUGCUAGGUGUCGUGUCCUGCUAGGUGUCGUGUCCUGCUAGGUGUCGUGUCCUGCUAGGCGUCGUGUCCUGCUAGGCGUCGUGUCCUGCUAGGCGUCGUGUCCUGCUAGGCGUCG